GUGAUUCAGCGUCCCUCUUAGCAGCAGGCAAUGACAGAGGCAGGAGAGGGGAAAAAAAAAAAGAAAGAAAGAAAAAACACAGCAAAUGAAUCAAACGGACGUGAGUAACAAAAGUUUAGAAAGAGCUGGGCUCGUAUUCAGAAAAAACGCCUCAUCCCCCCGCCCCGCUGCACUCCCAACCCCUUUAAAAAUAGCAGAUAAUCAAGAAAGGAAACGGGUGCUUUCAUAUGGAAAUACAGAUGUGUAUGUUGUUUUCAAUAUUCUACUGUUUUUUUGUGUGUGGCAUGCAAUUACUCAGGCACUGGGCAAAAUUCAGCCUUUGGAUUUUGUGGUCACACAUACCCCAACUCCGCAACAGCUAUUAAUUUGCAGGGCGAUGGGGUGCGGAUAGUGGAUGAGAUACAAGAAAGCAUUCCAAUUAAAAUGCCCCCCCCCACCCCGCCUUUUAAUUUUCCAGACACUUGCUUUUAUUUUUCUUUUUUUAAACAUCAUCAAAACAAGAAUAUUAAACUUGAAGCAGAAUUUGUUACAGCGUAUCUGACUCAGGACCUGAUUUAAGGUUUGGGGUUUUUUGGCCCUUUGUUUCUUCCUCUUGUUUUUUGACCUUUAGUUACUCCACACCUCAUUAGUUCCUUGACCUGCAGGUGGACUGAGAAGAGAGCCAUGGUAGCAGGCAAGAGUGUGGUUAUCGUUGGACCAGGAUUCAGGAUCUGACUGAGUAGCUGACUCUUAAUCCAGUUUGUGUUGAUCACCAGGAGGAUCUGGACCUCAGUAUUACCACAUCUAGAGCUAUAAUCACAUCCCUGUUAAGCCUUCCUGAGAUCACACCAAAUGUCCUUGAUGGGAAUUGUAAACAACCCUUACUUCUGGUUUCUAAUGAUAUUCCAGGAAAGGAGCCUAACUAGAGUCAGUGAUAUGCCAACUCCACCUUUGCCUUCCACCAUGUUUGGAAGCUCCCUGAGGCCUCACCAGGAGCAGAUGCUCGUCCCAUGCUUCCUAUAAGCCUGCAGAACUGUGAGCCAUAAUAAACUGUGAAUUAUAAAUUGCCUUUAUAGCAAUGCAAAUGGACCAGUACAGAUGGGAUGCUGGGAAGACAGUUGUUUCCACCUUCAGUAAAGUCCGUGGAACACAGUUGUGACUAUAUUCUAGGCCAGCCAAGAUGCUUGUACUCAGAAAGGAGUGGUCUCAGGACCAUAAGAAAGUGAAAAAAUAAAAAUAAGAAAAUAAAGAA
rnacentral:lncRNA from 10 species